rnacentral:rRNA from 1 species
GUGUCAGCCGCCGCGGUAAUACGUAGGGGGCCAGCGUUGCUCGGAAUUACUGGGCGUAAAGGGUCCGUAGGCGGUGUAGCAAGUCGAUAGUGAAAUCUCUGGGCUUAACCCAGAGGCUGCUAACGAAACUGCUGUGCUAGAGUGUGAGAGAGGCGAGUGGAAUUACGGGUGUAGCGGUGAAAUGCGUAGAUAUCCGUAGGAACAUCCGAGGCGAAGGCGGCUCGCUGGAUCACAACUGACGCUGAGGGACGAAAGCUAGGGGAGCAAACAGGAUUAGAUACCCUGGUAGUCCUAGCCCUAAACCAUCAGGACUUGGGGUUUGCCCUGUACGGGGCAAGUCCCGUAGCUAACGCGUUAAGUCCUGCGCCUGGGGAGUACGGUCGCAAGGCUGAA